UCUUUUUUUUUUUGUCGACCAUAAUUCCAAAAAAAAAUUAUAUAUAAAAAGAAAAUUCGAACUUCGGUGUAUUAUUCCCCUCCAAAGUAAACGUCCAAGUUCAAAGCCCUAUUUUCUGUAUUCCUUCUUCAGAUUGUUUGAAGGUUUGUAAUUAUGGGAGGAUAUAUCUCAUCUGGGAUUGUACCUGAAGCUGCAAGGAAUCAGGAAGUGUUGACCAAAGUCUCCGAAAAGGAUCAAAAACCGAAAAAGAAGAUUUGUUGUGCAUGUCCUGAGACUAAGAAGUUGCGAGAUGAAUGUAUAGUAGAGCACGGUGAAGCUGCAUGUGCCAAGUGGAUUGAAGCGCAUAACCAAUGUCUUCGUGCAGAGGGCUUUAACGUAUGAUGAAGAGUCAGAUUCUGAAGGUAUUGAGCUCCUUCAGUUAUGCAGAUAUAGUUAGGUUUUUCUCAGAUUUAUACACAUGUUUAACACAUAAAGUAUCACAGCAAUUUUGAGAUGAGCUUUUCUGUUAUUAUUAGAUGUCUUAUCCAUACUGUUAAAUUUGUGAAGCAUUGAUUUUCUGAUACUCAAGUAGAUUUAUAUUUUAUGAUACAUUAUGCCUAUCUUUCCCCGAUUCU